rnacentral:misc_RNA from 1 species
UCCUAGUUAACCUAGGCAGUCUCACUAGAGUCCCCGCCAUUACGCGUUGGCAACUAAUGAUAAGGGUUGCGCUCGUUGCGGGACUUAACCCAACACCUCACGGCACGAGCUGACGACAGCCAUGCAGCACCUAUACAAAGGCCCUUGCGGGCGGAACCAUCUCUGGCACCUUCCUCUGUACUUCUAACCUGGGUAAGGUUCUUCGCGUUGCAUCGAAUUAAACCACAUGCUCCACUGCUUGUGCGGGCCCCCGUCAAUUCUUUUGAGUUUCACCCUUGCGAGCGUACUCCUCAGGCGGUAUACUUAUCGCGUUAGCUACGACACAGCCGGGGUUGAGCCCAGCUACAUCAAGUAUACAUCGUUUACGGCAAGGACUAC